AUGAGUGGAUCCUCAGCCUGAAAUAGUCAAGUGACGGGACGAAGCCAAAGGUAAAAAAGAGCUGGAACGGGAAGAAGUUUCCAUUUCAUUCCUUUGCGACACUUCACCUGGAAGCCGUCAGCCAGCGAAAGCCGCUGCAAUUGCAUUUAACGAUUAAAAAGAGCAUGGCUAAGAGGGAUAUAUGUGGCCAGCUAUUUACACUUGUGGCCAAGAGCUUAGUGAAUUCUUGUGACUGAAAAAUGUGUAUGUAGAAACGCCUUUACUACAACGUUAUACCCAGGAGUAUAUGUUCCAAAGAGGGACUACAGGAUGCCCUGGAAGCGGGUGAACUUCAUAGGCGGCGCAACUGUCGCAUUUCCGCGUUGCAAAUUACUUCUUUUAUUCGUGACAUUUUUUGUAAUUAAGAU
ensembl:ncRNA lncRNA:CR44799 long non-coding RNA:CR44799